AUCCUACGGGGCGCAGCAGUAGGGAAUCUUCGGCAAUGGGCGAAAGCCUGACCGAGCAACGCCGCGUGAAUGAAGAAGGCCUUCGGGUUGUAAAAUUCUGUUAUAAGGGAAGAAAGGUGAUAGGAGGAAAUGACUAUCAAUUGACGGUACCUUAUGAGAAAGCCACGGCUAACUACGUGCCAGCAGCCGCGGUAAUACGUAGGUGGCAAGCGUUAUCCGGAUUUACUGGGUGUAAAGGGUGAGUAGGCGGUUCGGCAAGUCAUAUGUGAAAUACCCGGGCUUAACCCGGGAACCGCAUAAGAAAC
rnacentral:rRNA from 1 species